rnacentral:lncRNA from 10 species
CUCCACCCUUUCCUGUCCAGACCACUGUGAAGGCCUUUAGUCACCUCCUAGAGAAGCAAGAUUUUCAGCCCUGGCUUUCUACCCCCACACCCUACAGCCGGCCAGGGGACAGGGUCGUGUUCACACAGUGCUAAGGGAACACGCUGACGUGUGUGACAUCAAGAACUCCAGUGCCCACACAGCCCGAGUCCGGAUGGAGGGCUCAUCAAUGUAUGGAGAAAUGAAAGAGCGCCGCAUUUCACAUUGGAGGGAUCUGGGUUUGAGUCCUUGGGCCAGCCUUGCUACAGUGGGGGCAAGAACACCAAUCACACUGGCUUAUUACGGAAUUCAAAUGUGGCAGAGUAUUUAAACUAUGAAGUGUAGAAUAAAUUAAUUGGCUUGCCAAUUCCCCAUAGCUAGUACUAGAGGCUGGCCUCAGAUGGAAGAACCAGGG